GUGCCCUUUUAAGGCUGAUGUACUUUAAGUGGCUACCACAGAAGGGUAAAAUAAGUCUCCAUAAAACCCAGAGAAGAGAUUUUCAAACUCCCCUUUGGAUCCUGUAUGGUGUCUUAGCA
ensembl:snoRNA